rnacentral:rRNA from 2 species
UACGAAGGGGGCUAGCGUUGUUCGGAAUUACUGGGCGUAAAGCGCGUGUAGGCGGGUCUUUAAGUCAGGGGUGAAAUGCCAAGGCUCAACCUUGGAACUGCCUUUGAUACUGGAGAUCUUGAGUCCGGGAGAGGUGAGUGGAACUGCGAGUGUAGAGGUGAAAUUCGUAGAUAUUCGCAAGAACACCAGUGGCGAAGGCGGCUCACUGGCCCGGAACUGACGCUGAGACGCGAAAGCGUGGGGAGCAAACAGG